rnacentral:pre_miRNA from 1 species
ACCGAGUACUCUGUUCCUAAUUGGGGCACAGUCCAAGACAAUUAGGAUAUGGUGCUACUCGGUGA